rnacentral:ncRNA from 2 species
CUUAUCCAGAGUGGUUGAGGGACGGGCCCGAUGAAACCCGGCAACCGGUGAGAAUCCGGUGCCAAUUCCCGCGGCGCUUGCGCCGGAAGAUGAGG